rnacentral:rRNA from 1 species
UACAGAGGUCUCAAGCGUUGUUCGGAUUCAUUGGGCGUAAAGGGUGCGUAGGUGGCGAGGCAAGUCAGAUGUGAAAUCCCGGGGCUCAACCCCGGAACUGCAUUUGAAACUGCCUUGCUCGAGUACUGGAGAGGAGACUGGAAUUUACGGUGUAGCAGUGAAAUGCGUAGAUAUCGUAAGGAAGACCAGUGGCGAAGGCGAGUCUCUGGACAGUUACUGACACUGAGGCACAAAGGCCAGGGGAGCAAACGGG